GGGCUCACACAGGAAGACUGGCUAAUCCUGCAGAUUGUUAAAACUGAAGUAUUUAUCACAGAAAUCAAGAGUAAUAUUUUCAAGGCCAUGGAAGAGAAAAUGUUUCUGCUUUGAGACCUUUUUGAACAGACUAGAAGGGGCAGAGAAGGACAAGGUGACGCUGUAAGAAGCGCUCGGGAGGGUGAGGAAGCUGGA